rnacentral:RNase_P_RNA from 1 species
GAAGUGCGCCAGACCGCCGCUGGUACAAGUGCCGAAAGGCCGUACUGGAGGAACGUCCGGACUGCAUAGGGCGGCGUAGCAGCUAACGGCUGUCCACCGUGAGGUGAGGAUCAGAGCAACAGAGACGAGUCCCGGGGGAGUGUCGCAAGACAAACCACCGGGGGUGAAACGGGCAAUCUCUACGCGCAGCAAUACCAAGUAGGCACACGUUGACGGGGCCCCCGGAGUGUGCGGGUAGGUAGCACCGAGCCGUCAGGCGACUGGCGGCCAAGAUUAAUGGCGGUCACGCAGCGGGCAACCGCUGUGCACAGAAUCCGGCUUAUCGGCGCACUUCACAC